CUUCAAUUGCAGAAGCUGCUUGGAGUCCCACAUCAAAUAGGGAAUGGAUUCUCAUGGACUCUAAACAAGCGUAUGGGUCCAAAGUUAGUAUCUCACCAUGGAGAAGAAAAGAGAAUGGAUUGCAACUCAAAGAUUGCUUUGGCAUAUGUAGUCUAUGAUGAGUGUUUCCAGCCUAUCAUUGACAGCAGGACCGGCUUGGAUAGUAUCCCAACAAUUGUUUUCAACUAUGGGUAAGUACUUUGGGAGUUGGUUUCCUCUUUUAUGAAAUUUUUUCUUUCUCCCACCUUGUGGUUAUCCCGACUAACCACAUACUCCCCAUAAAAUCCACCUAUAUUGUUAUAUGUAAUUGCUAGUAUUUGAAUCUGUAAAGUAUUUAACUUCCCUCUUUUCAAAUCAAGCUUGAACCAUCUUGACUAUCAUGGGUUUUACACUUUCACCUUAGAGAGAAAAGAUGAAGUAACUACUGCAGCAUCCAUCAGGGUUCAUGGGACCAAGCUAGCUGAGAUGCCAUUUUUUGGAACCAGAGAGAAGUAUAGACGCGAAGGAAUGUGUCAACAAUUAGUUGACGCAAUUGUAUAUGUUCUUCUCUCCCCCAAAGUAAAAAAUCUGGUCUUACCAUCAGCCUCUGAAAGACUUGAUUAUUAGACAACACAUUAUGAAUUCAAGCACAUCACUGAGAUACAAAGAAGAGAGAUGUUCUCCAUGAACUUAAUGGUGUUCAAGGAUACAACUAUAUUGCAAAAGACCUUAUUACUGGAUGAUGAUUCACUGGAAGGAAAGAAAGAAGCUAGUGAAGUUUUGAAUGGUGAUUAUGAACCAAAAUGCAGUAAUUCUGAAGAUAGUCCCAGAGACAAAGAAGAUAAGUCUCCUAAGCCCUUGCUAUUUGAUCUCAACCUUGAACCUCCUAAUGAGGAGGUGAAAAUGUGCAAAAAUGAUGAAGAGAAGAAACCAUCAUUAGGAAUAUUCCUUGCAUUGAAAGAUGAUGGUAGUCUAAAUCUUAAAAAAUGUUUUGUUGAUGGUCCCCUAAGUAUUAUCCAUUGAAAUUCUUUUAGAUGAUGGUCGGGAGCUAUGAACUGUCUUAUUAUCCAUCUCAAAAAAUCUUUCUUUCUAGUCUAGAAUCUAGAUAGAGGAGCACGCCAAUAAGGUUUGGCAAAAUGGUUCUGUACAUCAAAGGACUCUGAGAUCAUUUUAUGUGAGGAGAGAGAGAGAGCAUGCUAGCGUACCCUCUCCUAGCAGCUCAGAGAACCUUUUCCCAAUGGGGAAUGCGUU